rfam:Capsicum annuum cultivar Zunla-1 chromosome 9, whole genome shotgun sequence
GACUCUCGACAACGGUUAUCUCGGAUCUCGCAUAGGUGAAGAACGUAGCGAAAUACGAUACUUGGUGUGAAUUGCAGAAUCCCGUGAACCUUUGAGUCUUUGAACGCAAGUUGUGCUCGAAGCCAUUAGGACGAGGGCACGUCUUUCUGGGCAUCA